rnacentral:lncRNA from 10 species
GUCCUCUGUGUCCCACAUUUCUUGGCGAGCCAGCCAGGAGCAGAGACUGUCUCCUUUGCCUUGAAAUCGGGGCUGGAGCCCCGGAUUCAAGGGAAAAUCGGGGCUGGAGCCUUGAUUCAAGGGAAACCUGGGACCCAGGCACCGCCGGGAGAACUUCAGCCCGGAGGGGAAAUCAGCUCUCCCAUGACCCGGCAUCCCUACCCAGCAGUGCAACGGAGCCUGAGAAGGGCUACAGGAUGAUUCCAGAAAUAGCGCACUUUAGGAACCACGUUGGCUAAAACCAGCAGCCCAAGACAAGUGGGCCAGCCAGCAGGACCCAGAUCAUCCAACCCGGCUGAUCCUGAGACGAGAGCAAGCUGCUGCUAAAGACAACUGCCCUGCUCUGGUCAUUCUGGAAGCUGACCAGUCUAUGAAUGGCGGAAGCAUAAGAAGACAACAAGCCCUACUCUAGUCACACACAGGAAUCUGACUAGUCUAUGCACAGCCAAAGCUUAAGAACUUGUCAAGCAAGUAAAUGUGGUUAAAAAUCCUAAAAGUAGUAGUUUUCCUUGUAAUACUGUUUUCCUAUUGUUCUGUCACUGUGCUCAGUCUCCUCCCCCAAAUAAAGACCUCUUCCGUCCUUGCUGAAUAUAAAUAAGCUGUAUAUUGUUUUGCUGUUGUUACCCCCUUAACCAUGCUAGAAGAAGCACCUAUAGAAGGGUGUCCCCACUGUACACAUACUACCUGGUCAGGGACUGGUAUAACUAAAACUCUAUUGUACCAUAGUUAUAAGUGUACAGGGACUCACUUAGGAACUUGUACUUAUAAUCAGACUACCUGCUCAAUUUGUGGCCCAGAAAAUAACAAACCUUAUGUAUUCUCUGACUCUAAAUUUUCGCCUGGUGAAUGGUGUAAGAUUCGUGCAAUGUCAAAGGAAAAUUUCCUCUUAAACCAAACCAAGGUCCCUCCCUUUUACCAAGGGCCUGUUUCUCUGUACUUGGAUGCCUAUCAGGCAGCAUACUAGACUCACCCGUCUGUGGUAACUUACCCUUAAAUACUAUAGAAAUAACUACAAAUAUAUAUGCAUGCCAAGAGUAACUCCUCCUUGUUCCGCUGGGAUCCCAAAAAAGGAUUGUUGGUACUGCAUAUCAUGGCACCUUAGCAUACAACAGAGGCCAAUUAUGCUUACCAAAAUGCCAGUAAAACCAGAUUGCAAAAUAAAAACCUGUAAUCCUGUAAACUUCACCAUUCUAAAGUCAGACUUACCCAUGUGGACUACAGGUUACUCUUACAUGUCUACAUAAAUACAUACCCAGCAACCUAACUAUAUGUUAUCAAAAAAGAAACCUGGACCUGUCUGGCUCAGCAACAAUCCGAAGUCUUUAAAUCAUUCUAUAAGCAUGUAAACUAGAAGUUACCAGAGUCUCUUCCUUUAGCUGAGAACCUGUUUGCUCAGCUGGCUCAAAACAUUGCUGGCAGCCUAGGCAUUUCUUCAUGUUAUGUUUACAGAGGAACAUGGGAGACCAGUGGCCUUGAAAAGCAAAAACGUUAAUGCCACAAGAUAAUUUUACUUUAACUGACAAUUCCCCUGAACCAAUGCCUGUAAGUUCAAGUCUCUGGCUCUGAAAAACUUCUGUCAUUGGAAGAUACUGUGUUGCUCGCUGGGGAAAGGCUUUUACAAACCCAGUAAGAGAACUAACCUGCUUAGAACAGCAAUAUUAUAAUGAAACACUAAGAAAAACUUUGUGGCGGGGCAGAAAUGACUCCAAAUCACCUCAUCCAAAUCCGUUCUCCUGUUUCUGUUCUCUAAAUCACACCUGGUAUCAGCUUGAAGCUCCAAAUACCUGACAAGCACCCUCUGGUCUUGAUUGGAUCUGUGGGCCAUGGGCCUACCAACAGUUACAAGGAAAAUAGAUAGGGGCUUGUAUAUUCAAGACAAUUAAGCCAUAUUUCUUUUUACUCCCACUGCAACAAGGAAAAACCUUAGGGUAUCCUGUCUAUGAUGAAAUUAAAAGAAGAAAC